rnacentral:rRNA from 1 species
GACGAACGCUGGCGGCGUGCUUAACACAUGCAAGUCGAACGGAAAGGCCCUGCUUUUGUGGGGUGCUCGAGUGGCGAACGGGUGAGUAACACGUGAGUAACCUGCCCUUGACUUUGGGAUAACUUCAGGAAACUGGGGCUAAUACCGGAUAGGAGCUCCUGCUGCAUGGUGGGGGGUGGAAAGUUUCGGCGGUUGGGGAUGGACUCGCGGCUUAUCAGCUUGUUGGUGGGGUAGUGGCUUACCAAGGCUUUGACGGGUAGCCGGCCUGGGAGGGUGACCGGCCACAUUGGGACUGAGAGACGGACCAGAGUCCUACGGGAGGCAGCAGUGGGGAAUAUUACACAAUGGGCGGAAGCCUGAUGCAGCAACGCCGCGUGCGGGAUGACGGCCUUCGGGUUGUAAACCGCUUUCGCCUGUGACGAAGCGUGAGUGACGGUAAUGGGUAAAGAAGCACCGGCUAACUACGUG